GGGAUUUUGGGGGGUUUGGGAUGAUUUUGGGGGGAUUUUUGGAGGAUUUAGGGAUGAUUUCGGGGGGAUAUUGGGGGAUUUUUAAGGGUAUUUUGGGUCACUUCAGGGUAUUUUGGGAAAAUUUUAGGUAAUUUUGGGGAUUUUAGGUGAUUUUGAGAUCAUUUGGCAUCAUUUUAGACAGAUUUGAGGGAUUUUGGGGGAGUUUAAAGCAUUUUGUAACAUUUUUGGGGGAUUUUUUAUUGAGAUUUUUUUCUGUUUCGUUGCGUUUUUUGUCAUUUCUUUGCGAUUUCCGGGGGCUUUUUUGGGAUUUUUUUGUGGAUUUUGGUGAUUUUUGCUCCCGCAGCGGCCGAGGAGGAGGAGGAGGAGGAGGAUGAAGAUGAAGAUGAGGAUGAAGAUGAGGAUGAGGAGCGCGUUCCCGACGCGGCCGAGCGGGAAUUGCUGCGCCUGGAAUUCACCUCCCGCAUGUACCAGCGCUUCCUGCAGGGGCUGGACAGCGACUUCGACUACAGGUGCCCCAAAAUCCCCCAAAUUCACCCCAAAACGGCCUCGAAACGGUGAAAAUUAAAAAAAAAAUGAAAAAAAUCCAACAAAAAAUGAGCAAAGUAGCCCAAAAAUCCACAAAAAAACCCAUAAAACCACAGGAAAAAACACAAAAAAGUCCCUCAUAAAAAACCCAAAAUGCCUGAAAUAACCCAAAAAUCCCAAAAUUCACAAAUAAACCCCAAAUAUUCAAAAUGUUUAAAAAUUCCAGAGAAAUCCGUCAAAAAAUGAGCAAAAUACCCCAAAAAUCUACAAAAAAUCCUCCCUUAUGUGCCAGCGCUUCCUGCAGGGGCUGGACAGCGACUUCGACUACAGCGCGGUGGACGAGGACCCGGGCCGGGACCCGCUGGAGCUGCUGGCCCAGGACAUGGAGGAUCGAUACUUCGACGAGGAGGAGCCGGGCCCGGCCCCGCCGCUGCUCUAGGGGCGCGCCCCAAAUCCCCAAAAAACGGCCCAAAAC
rnacentral:lncRNA from 1 species